rnacentral:rRNA from 1 species
CAGCCGCCACGGGAAUACGUAGGUGGCAAGCGUUGUCCGGAAUUAUUGGGCGUAAGGGGCUCGCAGGCGGUUUCUUAAGUCUGAUGUGAAAGCCCCCGGCUCAACCGGGGAGGGUCAUUGGAAACUGGGAAACUUGAGUGCAGAAGAGGAGAGUGGAAUUCCACGUGUAGCGGUGAAAUGCGUAGAGAUGUAGAGGAACACCAGUGGCGAAGGCGACUCUCUGGUCUGUAACUGACGCUGAGGAGCGAAAGCGUGGGGAGCGAACAGGAUUAGAUACCCCAGUAGUCCCUGUCUCUUAUAC